rnacentral:tRNA from 1 species
GCCGAGGGUGGGUAAGGGGCCGAAGACACUUGGCAACGGUUAGCGCCCUUGGCCCCUGGUGGUGAACAGCUGGAUGGAGGCGCGCUCAUCCCGGGCAACCGCCGUGUCGGUUCGACUCCGACCCUCGGCA